rnacentral:rRNA from 1 species
GACGAACGCUGGCGGCGUGCUUAACACAUGCAAGUCGAACGGAAAGGCCCUGCUUUUGUGGGGUGCUCGAGUGGCGAACGGGUGAGUAACACGUGAGUAACCUGCCCUUGACUUUGGGAUAACUUCAGGAAACUGGGGCUAAUACCGGAUAGGAGCUCCUGCUGCAUGGUGGGGGUUGGAAAGUUUCGGCGGUUGGGGAUGGACUCGCGGCUUAUCAGCUUGUUGGUGGGGUAGUGGCUUACCAAGGCUUUGACGGGUAGCCGGCCUGAGAGGGUGGACGGCCACAUUAGGACUGAGAUACGGCCCAGACUCCUACGGGAGGCAGCAGGGGGGAAUAUUGCACAAUGGGCGGAAGCCUGAUGCAGCAACCCCGCGUGCGGGAUGACGGCCUGCGGGUUGUAAACCGCUGUCGCCUGUGACGAAGCGUGAGUGACGGUAAUGGGUAAAGAAGCACCGGCUAACUACGUG